UGAGAAAAAUAUUUAUACAAAUUCUUAAAGAAUGUUUCAAACCCCCUUAAUAUCAGGUCGGCUCUGGUGCCAAUAUACAAAAAUAGAAUAAUGUCUUUACUCGUUAUGGACCGAUAUAAUAUUGUAAUGAACAUAUAUACCACUUACAAUAAAUAGGCAUAUAUUUAUGUAAGCACAAACUCAACAUGUUAUAGAGAUGUAUGAGUGUGUAUGUGCCUAUAUAAAAUAUAUUCGUACAUACUUUUUUGUAGCGAAUAUGUUUGAGAAAAUUGUAGCUGCUUCUCAAUAAUAUUCGUCUACGCAAUACUAUAAUCAAUCCAUAUCAUCUUCAAUUUUUUUUUAAUUUUCAAUGUUAAGUAAUUAAAUUAGAAUAUUAUUUACACAUGUGUACUAAUUGUUUUUUAUUAGUUUAAAUUAUCACAGUUUUAUUAAAAUAUCUACAAUGUUUAUAUAGUGUAUCCAUAUUUUUUAGGAAUAGUAUCAUAUGUAGCAAAUACUAUUGUGAAGUAAAAUAAAACCAAAUAUUCAAUUUUUUGGUUUAAAACCUUAAUUUCCAAUAUUAAAUUGUAUAGUUAUAAAAAAUUGCAGAGUAACAAAUUCAAGUGACAUAUACGUGUAACAAUACAAAAAUAAACAAAUUUAAGUUAUAAAAUUUUAGACUAAAUUUCAAAUUAAUUUUUUAUUAGGUUAUAUAUUUUUAAUUAUACAAAAUAUAUCUUCACAUGAAUAAAUCGAAUCCAGUGUUGACCAAAAUUUAAGAGGUAUUUUUUUCUAACUAGUUUAUGAGGAUGUUUUUAAUACUUGUAUUUAUUUUAAAUAAAAUUGCAUACAAAUGUUUAGAAAUUUUCUGUAAUGAAUAUUGGAUAAUUUAUAUACUUCCAAAUUUUGGAAUUUGAAGAAAAUGUUUUUAUUCACCAUUUUUUGUUUACAAUCAUUGAAUUUGUUUUUAAGAACAAUUAGAUUAUUACAAUGGUCUUUGAAAUUAUUUUCUCCUUUUAUACUUUCUGACUUGAUAUACUGGGUAAUGUACAUGAUUUCUGUUAACUUGAAGAAAGAAAUGGAGCCAAAGGAGUGGUUUGGAAGAGUUUGGGUCUUGGUCAAAGAUAAGGCAAGAUCUUCAGAGAUUGUAUAUCAAGGCUUCAUGAGGGUUUAAAGAAGUCUAGAAGUGUCAUGAAGGCUAUGCAAAGAUAGGGAUUAAGUCCAGGAAGGGCUUAGACAUCAUUUGGAGUAAGAUAGGCAAUAGUGCAAAGAUAGGGCGUCCCGGAGAAACGGACAGUACGGACGGUGCAAUCUUAGGGCGACCCAAGAUCAGAUAGGAUCGACCAUUGGAGAAGUCUGAACGUGAGGUGCAAAGUUAGGGCGAGGUACGGACCCGUACCAACGACCGUACAAAGCAAGUGGCCGUACCAGACUUACCCGGAUCGACCAGAAUAGGAGUUCGGUUCAGUUAGGGCACAAGGAAGCUUAGGGCGUGAUCUUGUGACCGUUGGAGAAGCAAGUGGGCGUGAGACAGCUUGUGACAGGCUGGCCAAAAGGUAAAGCAAAAGGUAAAGCACAUUUUGGAGCAGGACCACACAUGAAGACAAUCUUGGUUGUCCAAUUCAAACUGAGCAAAUCUAGCCAUUGAUUCUUUAUCCUAUCUUCUCCACUUUACAGCUUGCACAAGACCACUCCAAGACCAGAUCCUGAUCGUCCAUCUUCAAGUCCUUUAUCAGCCAUUAGACUUAGGUUAUGAUAUUGCAAAUGUAAAACUCAUAUAUAAGCCUUAGAUGGCGAUUUGUAAUGACUAAGGGAGUAAGGGGGAAUUCUCCUCUCCACUUCAUGAAUAAUAAACUUGUUCUUGAAUCUGAAACCUUAAUCUCUAAUCUCUUAUUUUCCUAAUCUCUUAGUCUCUUAAUCUCUGUUCCUAAGUCUCUUAUUCUCUCAUAAACACUCUCAUCAAUCUCUCUUUCUAAAUCACCUAGAACAAGCUCUCAUCUUUCUUCAUUGGAGUUUAUACACACACACAUACAACCAGAGAAGAGAACUCUACAAAUCUCAUAUGGUAUCAGAGCUAGGUUCAUCAAAACCUGAGCUGUAGUUUCCGUAAAGCACUUUCUCCCAUCUCAGCUCAAACCAAAGCCUAGAAGACAUGUUCAUCCGAGCUCAGAUUCUUCAAGAAGAAGAAGUGUGAAGCCGUGAAGUGUUCUCCUUGUCUCUCUGUCUCUACUGUCCGUUCCUGAUGGUGCUUCUCCUUGGAAACAAUGGUGUAUGGAGAGGCGUGGAAAUCCUGCUUCAAAUCGCCUUGUUCAAGAAGUGUUCUCUCAUCCAGUCUCAAAAUGGUGUCCAAGAAGAGGGCGCCUAGAAGACAUGAAACAAGGAGGGGCCUUUGAGUAUUAGAUACAAGAUGGUGGCCAUGAACUGAAGGAGAAGGAGGUGGGUGAUGAUCCAGACUCUCAGAUCCAACAAAAAUCAUGGCCGGUUUCACAAAAUGCAAAAGGAAUCAACCUGGUUCCUUGUUGUAAGUGAUUCUAUAAACCACCUUGAUAAUGAGCUUGUGUUGUUGACUGGUUGUGAUGUUGUGAUGUGAUUGAAAACCUGAGAAUUGUUUAAAAGAUUGCUGAAUGAAAUAAAAUGAAUUUAGAAUCUGUCCCAGGAUACUAAAAGAGCUUUGUUUCUAGUAAUCUCAGUCCUUGAUGGUUCAUCGGGUUUCCUAGUAAUCCAAAAAUCUUACUAGUUAUACUAGGCUUACUAGCAGCAAUGUAAGUGCUUUAAAAUUUCUAGUAACUUAUCAGUAUUACUAGGAUUACUAGAUAUGUUAAUAUGCUUAGCUCCGGUUCAUAAUGAUGCUUGUUGUGAUUGAUUGAGUCUGCUUGCAUACAUGGAUUGAAACCGAAUUGAAAGUUGUUGCAUAUAGUCUUGUGGCUGUCUUACAUUGAAUCAUUAGAUUCAUGUCUAAAUUGCUGAGUAAAGAAGCUUUAAAAAUGCCUAAGUAGCUUGCAUAAAUCUGGAAAAGAAAGUGUCUGUGCUUAGAGAGGUUGCUUGCAAAGAUAGAACUUGAAAAUGACUUGUUUUAAUCUGUAGCAAUGCUUGUGAGACUGGGAAUCAAACUUGAUGAUUAAUCAAGGAUUGAUCCCAAUACUCUUGUGUCUUAUCUUUGCUGGAGUUUGAGUGGUGUUUCAGGUUCACAAGAAGUGUUCUUUGCUCACCACCUAUCCAAGACAAGAGGAAGACUUGAUCCAUUGUGUGGAGCAAUGGGAAGAUACUUGUGUGUAGAAGCCGGUUUAAGAAGCGCAGGCCACGAGGUUGUUGAGCUCCUGGUUCAAGACACACAAGAGGAAGACUUGAUCCAUUGUGUGGAGCAAUGGGAAGGUGCUUGUGUGUAGAAGCUGGUUUAAGAAGCGCAGGCCACGAGUUUGUUAAGCUCCUGGUUCAAGGACACACAAGAAGAAGAAGGUCACCACCUAAGUCAUGAGGAAGGCCGGUGAUCUGAUGAUACUUGAAGCUGAAGGCAAAAGGGUGGAUCAGUGAUUUAAGCGCAGCUGUUAGGGUGGUGUGCUCCUGGUCUUGAAGUUCAUUGAGGCUCAUUUCAAGCUUGAACCUAUACUCAAUUCAAGCUUGCGGUGGGGAUUCAAAUGAGCAACCUGAAGAGCCAAAGUUCAAGACCUGUUUCCUCCUUAUCAUUACAAGAGAAUGAUAAGAUGAAGCCUAUUGCCAGCAUUCUGUGGAGAAGUCCACAGCCUGCUCCAAAGAGGGUAGAGAGGAUGUUGUAACAAUGGAGAGAUGAAGCCUAUUGCCAACAUUCUGUGGAGAAGUCCGCAGCCUGCUCUAAAGAGGGUAGAGAGGAUGUUGUGACAAUGGAGAGGUGACUUGCGGUUCUGUACAUGGUGGUUUAGUCACCAUAGCCUACACAUCAGAUGAGUGUAGAGAGGACAAUAGACAUGCAAGGAAGAGCAUCACCAGGAGGGUGAUGCAAUUAAGACCAAGACCAUUGCAUCAUGGAGAAGUGGGGCUGUAAGCAUCAAGUCUGAAGAAGAUGGAGGUGUUCCCACAAGAAUGAUCAUAGAGCUUAGUAUGCGCUCACCUUCAAGCUUGGACCUUCCCUAUACUCGGUCUCAAGCUUGAGGGAGAGUGUUGGUGAGCUUGCAUGAUAAGAGAAGGAUCUGAUAAGCUUAGCAAGUGAGGGACUCAAGUGGUGUGUGAAGAGCAGCCACUCCUCACCAAAGCAAAAGGAGCUAGGCAUGUCUUACCUGAUGGAGAUGGCAAGAAGCCACGAGAGAAGGGAAGACUCAGGCCGGUCCAGUCACUCCUCACCAAAACAAAAGGGAAGUUUCCCCGUACUCAAUUUCAAUUCAUCAUUUUCAAUCGUAUCUAGUAAUUUGUUAGGAAUACUAGUUUUACUAGACGACAACAUAUCUAGUAAUCUAUAAGGAAUACUAGUCUUACUAAGACGGUCUAUAAGCAUGAAUUGAUUGAGUUAUGUUACUUGAUAAGUACUGAUACACUUGUGGAAUAAUGUAUCAGGUACCUUACUUGGAGACUCAAUGGAGAGGAUCAGGUCACUCCUAGCCUUUCAAGUAGGCAUGAAGUCCGGAGACACUAAACCGGUUCUAUAGAAGAGUCCAAGAAGGUGUGGUGUAAAGUGUGCACAAGCCUUGAAGUGUUGCUGCACCUGUUUAGGCCGUGAUCCAGAGCUUCUUGUGUCAAACCACACUGGUUCUAAGGCACAAGAGCUCACUGGCCAAUCCCUAGGCCUUGGAGACUUUACUUUUUUUCCCUCAUCAAGGUUUUGUCCCAAAGGGUUUUCCUUAGUGAGGUUUUUAAUGAGGAAGUUCUUCAAGGUUCCAAGCUUGACUUAGGAUCAGCUAAAGUCAAGCUUGAGGAGGAGUGUUAACUUGAAGAAAGAAAUGGAGCCAAAGGAGUGGUUUGGAGGAGUUUGGGUCUUGGGCAAAGAUAAGGCAAGAUCAUCAGAUAUUGUCUAUCAAGGCUUCAUGAGGGUUUAAAGAAGUCUAGAAGUGUCAUGAAGGCUGUGCAAAGAUAGGGAUUAAGUCCAGGAAGGGCUUAGACAUCAUUUGGAGUAAGAUAGGCAAUAGUGCAAAGAUAGGGCGUCCCGGAGAUACGGACGGUGCAAUCUUAGGGCGACCCAAGAUCAGAUAGGAUCGACCAUUGGAGAAGUCUGAACGCGAGGUGCAAAGUUAGGGCGAGGUACGGACGGCCUGUCCGUACCAACAACCGUACAAAGCAAGUGGCCGUACCAGACUUACCCGGAUCGACCAGAAUUGGAGUUUGGUUCAGUUAGGGACAAGGAAGCUUAGGGCGUGAUCUUGUGACCGUUGGAGAAGCAAGUGGGCGUGAGACAGCUUGUGACAGGCUGGCCAAAAGGUAAAGCAAAAGGUAAAGCACCUUUUGGAGCAGGACCACACAUGAAGACAAUCUUGGCUGUCCAAUUCAAACUGAGCAAAUCCAGCCAUUGAUUCCUUAUCCUAUCUUCUCCACUUUACAGCUUGCACAAGACCACUCCAAGACCAGAUCCUGAUCGUCCAUCUUCAAGUCCUUUAUCAGCCAUUAGAUUUAGGUUAUGAGAUUGCAAAUGUAAAACUCAUAUAAUAGAUGGCGAUUUGUAAUGACUAAGGGAGUAAGGGGAGGGAGUAAGGGGGAGUUUCCCUCUUCACUUCAUGAAUGAUAAAUUUGUUCUUGAAUCUGAAACCCUAAUCUCUAAUCUCUUAAUCUCUUAUUCUCCUAAUCUCUCUGUCUCUUAAUAUUUGUUCCUAAGUCUCUUAUUCUCUCAUAAACACUCUCAUCAAUCUCUCUUUCUAAGUCUAGUACAAGCUCUCAUCUUUCUCCAUUGGAGUUUAUACACACACAACCAGAGAAGAGAACUCUACAAAUCUCAUAAUUUCAGCGUUGGUUAAAGAGUUUUGAAGUUUUUUUUUAGAGAAAACAGUUUUGUAGUUGGGAGGAAUGUCAGGCUCGUGCAUUGAUGAGUUAAAAGACGUUAAUCACAACAUUAGAUAGAAGCAAACAUGCUCACUUAGGAAGGAUGGUUCCCGGAUGGAGAAGAGCUUGAGCUUGGUCAUGAAGCAAGAGGUGAACUUUAGUAAUAGCUUCAGAAAUGCAAUUACUUCAGCAAAGGUAGAGCAGCAACUGUUAAGUUCUUGCCUCUGGAUUGGGUUUAGUUUGCUCAUUUCUCACUUUUGGCCUCUCAUAUCUUUAUGUUUGUAAGUAUGUUGUGGCAGUACGUUGCGUCGUUGGCGAGAGCCCUCCCCUAUUGCCAUGUAAAGCACGUGAUACAUAUAUAAAGCUGGAAAUUCUAUUAACCGGUGAUCAUGUAACAAUUUUAAUCUUGCUCCACGAACGACAUAUGACUGAAAUUUGGCUUACAUAUUUGUGUAUUCUCUUUUCCAGCAAUAGAACCAUACACAUCCAUUCUUAUUUACAAAAGGGCUACAUGUUUUCAAUCGUAAGAGUUAACAACACACAUUCAUCAAUGCUGGUUCCAGCCGCAACUAAUUUCUGCUCUCAACAAUUUAGCUUCAUUUGUUUCUUUACAGACAACCUCCCUGGAGUUUGACCAAGCCGUUAUCAUAUCCACGAUUUGAUGGCCAUAAGCAAAGAAUAUUAGGACGGCAAUUAGCAACCUUGCACAAAAGAAAUUGUGUUAUAACCAACAGAAAGGUCGAGACAAACAUGUGCUUAGGUAUAGAUGUCAUUCAACGGCUCAAGAUUCUUAUUGCAGCCAUAACAAAGAAAAAAGAACCUGCAGUGAAAGGACGUGAACAAAUUGCUGCAUCACAAAAUGUAGCUGAUGACCCUUCUUAAAUGUCAAAUACCUUGGAAAAAUAUACCCAUUUAUAUCAUGGAAAAUCGACAAUAAUAAUUUAUUUUGAAAUCAGAAGACA